ACAGAGGUCCCAAGCGUUGUUCGGAAUCACUGGGCGUAAAGGGUGCGUAGGCGGUAUAGCAAGACUUGUGUGAAAUCUCCAUGCUUAACGGGGAGGGAGCCUGGGAAACUGCUGGGCUUGAGGAUUGGAAGGGAGAAUGGAAUUCUUGGUGUAGCGGUGAAAUGCGUAGAUAUCAGGAGGAACACCAGUGGCGAAGGCGAGUUUCUGGACUAAACCUGACGCUGAUGCGCGAAGGCGCGGGGAUCAAACGG
rnacentral:rRNA from 1 species